UCAACGUACCAUGAUCGGAGAUCUCUUUUACAUUUAAAUGUCGUCUUUACACACUCUUGCAAUGUGUUUUUCAACAUUUAUUGAGUUGAAUGCUGCUAAAACGUCUUUCAAGCGAAGACUGUGUCAAGAUUAGUUAGUAUGCAAGAAGAACAACACAAAGUAUCUAAUACUUUAUCACGUUCAGUUUUUAUUGUGAAACAUGCAGCUGACAAAUUGCAGAAGAAACAAACGUUACAAAAAUGCAUUCCUGAAGUGGCAAGAAAAUUGAAAAGAUUUCAUGGAAGGAAAACGUUUACUAGAGCACCUGUUAGGAGGGGUGGUUAUUUUAUGACAGAGUCAGGAGGGGGUGAAUGCUUUAGCAAAAGUAAUUUAGAGGAAGGAUGGUUACUUCAUAAGUUGAAGAAGUUAUGAAAUAUGUCCUUUGUAAUCAUUGGUUCCCUGUUGUUUAUCUUUGUUCUCCAGUUGAUGAAUGACAUGAUCAUUAAAUGAUUGGAGUUAACACUUGCAUCAUAAUUGGUUAUUUCAAAAGUUAGCAAGAUAUUUUUUUAGUUGCAUCAUUGCCUACUUCCACACAUGCACAUAGCCAAAAAAAGGUACUUUUGAAAGUAUUCAUAAUUUUGGCAAUGUCAUGCAAAUGCUGAAUUGUAAAUUGGGUCACCAAAGACAAAGAAAAAUCUACUUAAAAUUUACAAUAUUUUGAUGCUAUGAUGUACCUAGGUGUGAUGUCGUUUCGAAUGCUUCCUGUGGACACAUACUGGCGUUUGAGGAUGUGGUCUUUCCUUGUUAUGUAUUUACUGUGGUCUUUGGUUUUAUAUUACUGACUGUUAGUGUUCUUGAAAAAUGGAGGUAUACCUGUAUAAUUGCUACAUUCUGACAAGUUUUACUUGAUUAAAACAUGAUUUUAACAUUUGAAA